rnacentral:tRNA from 1 species
GCCUGUCUAGCUCGGUCGGUAGAGUGCAAGGCUCUGAACCUUGUGGUCUUGGUCGUGGGUCUGAGCCCCGCGUUGGGCG